GAUGAAGAACGUAGCGAAAUGCGAUACGUAAUGUGAAUUGCAGAUUUCAGUGAAUCAUAGAAUCUUUGAACGCACAUUGCGCCCGCUAGUAUUCUGGCGGGCAUGCCUGUUCGAGCGUCAUUUCAACCAUCAAGCCCCCGGCUUGCGUUGGAGCCCUGCGGCUGCCGCAGGCUCCCAAAUCCAGUGGCGGGCUCGUCGUCGUACCGAGUGCAGUAAACAUCCUCGCUCAGGGAACGUGACGGGUUCUUGCCGUGAAACCCCCCACAUAUCAAGGUUGACCUCGGAUCAGGUAGGAAUACCCGCUGAACUUAAGCAUAUCAAUAAGCGGAGGA
rnacentral:misc_RNA from 1 species